CGCAACAUCCGACCAAUGAGCUACGGUGAGAACGGUUAGAGAGUGUGGUGGGAACUCUCCUCCCAUCGCUCCUCGCUGUACCUGGGAACCAGCGCUGCCUCAGGGAGGGGCCCCCGAGCCGCCCGCUGUCUGAAUGAAACACCAAACAAAAACUCUCACCAACAGGCACAUUCAAACAAUGGCAUGUUGGAAUAAAAAAAUGCAUGCCGUUGUGAUUGGGGGGCUGCGGAUGCUGUUGGUGAAAUAUGAUGGAGGAAGGUCACGUCGAGGAAGAGCUCUUGUUACUACGAAGGUCUUUUGGGUGUCCUGCUCGGUUUGGCCAGCUGUGUUUUAUAGGGCUUUUCUUGCCUGUUUGCUCCAUGACGACAGUUUCCAAGAUUCCCUUCCUCUAAUGGGGAUGACAAUUACGUCGAUGAAGAGAUCGUUGUCUCCGGUAGAUUUCAGAGGAAUAUUUUCGGUUGUUGUCCUGUUUUUCUCUUAGAGCUCCACUAAGAACACAUCAGUGAACCGCACUGUUGCACCGACACAUUAAUAUUUAUCCAACUUUUAUUGGAUUGUAUCAAUGAUUUUUUUGGAUACUCUUUAAAAUGUGGCCUUGUAUAAAAAUAAAUGAAUGUCC
ensembl:lncRNA